GCUCUGACGCUAUCACGGUCGAAGCAAAAGUGCUAAGUCGACCGCCUGGGAAGUACGGUCGCAAGGCUAAAACUCAAAGGAAUUGACGGGGGCUCACACAAGCGGUGGAGCAUGUGGUUCAAUUCGAAGCAACGCGCAGAACCUUACCUGGGUUUGACUAGCAUGGAUUAUCCCCAUGAAAGUGGGGUAGGCCCUUCGGGGUACAACAUGUACAGGUGCUGCAUGGCUGUCGUCAGCUCGUGUCGUGAGAUGUCGGGUUAAGUCCCUUAACGAGCGAAACCUUUGCCCUUAGUUACCAGCGGGUUAUGCCGGGGACUCUAAGGGGACUGCCGGUGUCAAACCGGAGGAAGGUGGAGAUGACGUCAAGUCCUCAUGGCCUUUAUGCCCAGGGCCACACACGUGCUACAAUGGCGUCCACAAAGCGAACCGAGAGCGCAAGCUGGAGGAAAUCGCACAAAUGACGCCCCAGUUCAGAUCGGAGGCUGCAACUCGCCUCCGUGAAGUUGGAAUCGCUAGUAAUCGCGGAUCAGCUACGCCGCGGUGAAUGUGUUUCUGAGCCUUGUACACACCGCCCGUCAAGUCAUGGGAGCCGGAAAUGGCCGAAGUUGCCUCACCACUGAGGUGCCUACGCCAGGUUCGGUGACUGGGACUAAGUCGUAAC
rnacentral:rRNA from 1 species